AAUAAACGUGUUCUUUAACUUAUAACACACACACAUCGAGACCUACUCCGGGGUGCUGCUUUGAAUGAGUAGUCGGUCAGUGGGGAUGUGUGGAGGCCUAACC
rnacentral:sRNA from 1 species